UCGGUCAUGGCUCAGAUUGAACGCUGGCGGGAUGCCCCAUGCAAGUCGAACGGCAGCACGGACUUCGGUCUGGUGGCGAGUGGCGAACGGGUGAGUAAUGUAUCGGAACGUGCCUAGUAGCGGGGGAUAACUACGCGAAAGCGUAAACUAAUACCGCAUACGCCCUUCGGGGAAAGCGGGGACCUUCGGGCCUCGCACUAUUAAACGGCGAUAUCGGAUUAGCUAGUUGGGUAGGUAACGGCUCACCAAGGCGACGAUCCGUAGCUGGUUUGAGAGGACGACCAGCCACACUGGGACUGAGACCUGGCCCAGACUCCUACAGGAGGCAGCAGUGGGGAAUUUUGGACAAUGGAAACCUGAUCCAGCCAUCCCGCGUGUGCGAUGAAGGCCUUCGGGUUGUAAAGCACUUUUGGCAGGAAAGAAACGGCACGGGAUAAUACCCGUGCAACUGACAGCUCUGCAGAAUAAGCACCGGCUAACUACGUGCCAGCAGCCGCGGUAAUACGUAGGGUGCAAGCGUUAAUCGAUUACUGGGCGUAAAGCGUGCUGACGGUUCGGAAAGAAAGAUGUGAAAUCCCAGAGCUUAACUUUGGAACUGCAUUUUAACUACCGAUAGAGUGUCAGAGGGAGGUGGAAUUCCGCAAUCAUAGCAGUGAAAUGCGUAAAUUAUGCGGAGAAGCACCGAUAGCGAAGGCAGCCUCUGGGAUAACACUGACGCUCAUGCACAGACAGUAGGAGCGAGCAGGAUUAGAUACCCUGGUAGUCCACGCCCUAAACGAUGUCAACUAGCUGUUGGGGCCUUCGGGCCUUGGUAGCGCAGCUAACGCGUGAAGUUGACCGCCUGGGGAGGUACGGUCGCAAGAUUAAAACUCAAGGUCGACGGGGACCCGCACAAGCAGUGGAUGAUGUGGAUUAAUUCGAUGCAACGCGAAAAACCUUACCUACCCUUGACAUGUCUGGAAUCCCGAAGAGAUUUGGGAGUGCUCGCAAGAGAACCGGAACACAGGUGCUGCGUGGCUGUCGUCAGCUCGUGUCGUGAGAUGUUGGGUUAAGUCCCGCAACGAGCGCAACCCUUGUCGUGGAUUUGCUACGAAAGGGCACUCUAAUGAGACUGCCGGUGACAAACCGGAGGAAGGUGAGGAUGACGUCAAGUCCUCAUGGCCCUGUAGGUGGGAGCUUCACACGUCAUACAAUGGUCGGGACAGAGGGUCUCCAACCCGCAGAGACCAAUCCCAGAAACCCGAUCGUAAGUCCGGAUCGCAGUCUGCAACUCGACUGCGUGAAGUCGGAAUCGCUAAUAAUCGCGGAUCAGCAUGUCGCGGUGAAUACGUUCCCGGGUCUUGUACACACCGCCCGUCACACCAUGGGGUGGGUUUUACCGAAGUAGUUAGCCUAACCGUAAGGAGGGCGGUCACAAAGGCGGAUUCAUGACUGGGGUGAAGUCGUAACAAGGUAA
rnacentral:rRNA from 1 species